CGAGUUGGCCAGGCAGUCGCUGUCGCACUUCGGUGCGGGGGAGGAAAGUCCGGGCUCCAUAGGGCAGAGUGCCAGUUAACGGCUGGGGGGCGUGAGCCUACGGAAAGUGCAGCAGAAAAUAUACCGCCUAAGUGUUCUGACUUCGGUUAGGGCAACGGUAAGGUUGAAAUGGUGCGGUAAGAGCGCACCGCGUCGGUGGUAACAUUCGACGGCAUGGAAAACCCCACUCGGAGCAAGACCAAAUAGGGAAGC
rnacentral:RNase_P_RNA from 1 species